rnacentral:rRNA from 1 species
CCAGACUCCUACGGGAGGCAGCAGUGGGGGAUAUUGCACAAUGGGGGGAACCCUGAUGCAGCGACGCCGCGUGGGUGAAGGAGUGCUUCGGCAUGUAAAGCUCUAUCAGCAGGGAAGAAAAUGACGGUACCUGAGUAAGAAGCCCCGGCUAACUACGUGCCAGCAGCCGCGGUAAUACGUAGGGGGCAAGCGUUAUCCGGAUUUACUGGGUGUAAAGGGAGCGUAGACGGCAGUGCAAGUCUGGAGUGAAAGGCGGGGGCUCAACCCCCGGACUGCUCUGGAAACUGUACGGCUGGAGUGCAGGAGAGGUAAGUGGAAUUCCUAGUGUAGCGGUGAAAUGCGUAGAUAUUAGGAGGAACACCGGUGGCGAAGGCGGCCUGCUGGACGGAUACUGACGCUGAGGCCCGAAAGCGUGGGGAGCGAACAGGAUUAGAUACCCCGGUAAA